rnacentral:rRNA from 1 species
CGUAUGGAGCAAGCGUUAUCCGGAUUUACUGGGUGUAAAGGGAGUGUAGGUGGCCAUGCAAGUCAGAAGUGAAAUCCGGGCUCAACCCCGGAACUGCUUUGAAACUGUAAGGCUAGAGUGCAGGAGGGUGAGUGGAAUUCCUAGUGUAGCGGUGAAAUGCGUAGAUAUUAGGAGGAACACCAGUGGCGAAGGCGGCUCACUGGACUGUAACUGACACUGAGGCUCGAAAGCGUGGGAGCAAACAGGAUU